rnacentral:rRNA from 1 species
GAUGAACGCUGGCGGCGUGCCUAAUACAUGCAAGUCGAGCGAACAGACGAGGAGCUUGCUCCUCUGACGUUAGCGGCGGACGGGUGAGUAACACGUGGAUAACCUACCUAUAAGACUGGGAUAACUUCGGGAAACCGGAGCUAAUACCGGAUAAUAUAUUGAACCGCGUGGUUCAAUAGUGAAAGACGGUUUUGCUGUCACUUAUAGAUGGAUCCGCGCCGCAUUAGCUAGUUGGUAAGGUAACGGCUUACCAAGGCAACGAUGCGUAGCCGACCUGAGAGGGUGAUCGGCCACACUGGAACGGAGACACGGUCCAGACUCCUACGGGAGGCAGCAGUAGGGAAUCUGCCGCAAUGGGCGAAAGCCUGACGGGGCAACGCCGCGUGAGUGAUGAAGGUCUUCGGAUCGUAAAACUCUGUUAUUAGGGAAGAACAAAUGUGUAAGUAACUAUGCACGUCUUGACGGUACCUAAUCAGAAAGCCACGGCUAACUACGUG